UACGGAGGGUGCAAGCGUUAUCCGGAUUCACUGGGUUUAAAGGGUGCGUAGGUGGGUUGGUAAGUCAGUGGUGAAAUCUCCGAGCUUAACUUGGAAACUGCCAUUGAUACUAUCAGUCUUGAAUAUUGUGGAGGUCAGCGGAAUAUGUCAUGUAGCGGUGUAAUGCUUAGAUAUGACAUAGAACACCAAUUGCGAAGGCAGCUGGCUACGCAUAUAUUGACACUGAGGCACGAAAGCGUGGGGAUCAAACAGG
rnacentral:rRNA from 1 species